UACGGGGGGGCAAGCGUUGUUCGGAAUUACUGGGCGUAAAGGGCUCGUAGGCGGCCAACUAAGUCGGAUGUGAAAUCCCCAGGCUCAACUUGGGAACUGCAUCCGAUACUGGAUGGCUUGAAUCCGGGAGAGGGAUGCAGAAUUCCAGGUGUAGCGGUGAAAUGCGUAGAUAUCUGGAGGAAUACCGGUGGCGAAGGCGGCAUCCUGGACCGGCAUUGACGCUGAUGAGCGAAAGCUAGGGGAGCAAACGGGG
rnacentral:rRNA from 1 species